UUGGAGCGUCGUUAUCUGGCUGUCUAGCUGCUGAAAAAAUAAAUAAAUCAGGAAAACUCAGGGUGAGGACAGCACAGCUGCUUUAACUGUUUUUUUUUCUCCACUCUUGGUCUCUUCAGAUUGUAGCCGGGGCUGCUGUCCAGGAAGUAGGGCGCUGUGCGCUGGUUCUCUUGCCCAUAUAUGGAAGAGGCGGUGACAGAGCACACCUGGUGGGGGUGAGACAGGUAAUGAGCGUCUACAUUUAAAAGCAGGUAGAUCUCUGAGGAGGAUCCAUCCUGUUCUGAUUCCUGCAGAGGCAGCGCAUUUCUAGAGCGACGUCCGGAGCACCGUGGAUCGGUUUUACUGCAGAGAAGGCUGGAGAUCUACAGGAGUCUGACCCAGUAAAUGUACCCUUCUGGAUCCAGCUCAGACAGAUGGACCACGGUGAGGACUUCUGAUGGUUCUGAUGCUGACCGGACCUUUGCCUGAUGCUCUCCUCUUCAGGACGGCGCUGUGAUCUCUGACCCGGCAGGACCCAGAAAACCCCUGGAGGAGGAGUCACAGCUGAAAGCUCCAGAUGACCAGAACCAGCGACCCAAAGGUGCAGAAACAUGAAGCCAUCCAGAGGAGGCUGGUUCUGGUUCUGGAUGAAAUAUGACAGAUGAUGAAGUGAAUUAAUGCUGCUGCUUGUUGCAGAAGUUGGUGAGGAGGAGGAGGCUUGUUCUGGAACUCCAGCAGAAGUCCCUGCAGGAGGCCCAGCUGGAGGAGCUGCAGCAGAACCGGGCCUCCAGAACCGCUCAGAGGGAGAUGAGCUCCUGGAGGCUGAGCUCCACCAGGAGAAGGCAAGGAGAGCAGAGACGCUCGCUGCUCUGGAGUACCAGACGGCGGGGAAAGAGGAGGCGC